rnacentral:rRNA from 1 species
AGUACGUGAAACUGCUCAGAGGUUAAGCCCGAUGAACCUGAAUAUCCAUUAUUGAAAAUUCAAUAUUAAGUAAAUAAUAUAUAUCAUAUUGUUGAAAUAGUAUGCAAUUUUUCAAUAUAAGGACAUUGUAAUUUGUUAAUGUUAUAUAUAUUUAUUAAAAGAUCUUUUACUUAAGUUUAUUUAAAUUGUUUAUUUUCGGAUAUUCAACAUAAAAUAAAUGUAUUAGAUUAGAUAAAUCAUUGACAGAUAUAAUUAUAUAUUGUGCUAAAAUUUUUCGGAAUUUUACAGUAGUAGAUGGAUCUAUUGAUUUGUUUAUUUAUUGUAUGCACUUUUAUGAUUAACAAUGCGAUAGAUUCAGGAUACCUUCGGGACCCGUCUUGAAACACGGACCAAGGAGUCUAACAUAUGUGCAAGUCAUUGGGUAUUUUUAAUAAAACCCAAUGGCAUAAUUAACUUAACUGUUAUUUAUAAUGGGAUUAAUUUAUAUUUUGUUAUGAUUUAUUUAUUCAAUCCCGGGGCGUUCUAUACAGUUAUGCAUAAUAAUAUUUAUAUUAUUUAUGCCUCUGACUAGAGC